ACCCCAAAUGGGGUCAUGAAGAGUUGGAUAAAAUUGAAAAAAACGACUGAGCAGAUUUUAAUAUUCUAAAUAGCUCUAUGUCAGUACUUGUCUCAGACUAGGUCCUCCUGACAACAGGAACAAUAAUACAUGAAGUUUUUUUAUAUGGUGGUGAUAAGCCAUCCUAGAAGAUGGGAAGCUCUCAAGAAUGAAAUUCUGAAGACACAAGGGGAAACAAUUCCAGUGAAGAAGACAAAAGGGAGCUGUCUAAAGAGACCAGUGACCUAACACACACAGUCGGUGCUAAUUGUUGAUUAAUUGAUUCAUGGACAAAAGAAAUAGAACAGAGGAUAAAUGACAUCUCUAUAAGAAAAGUGUCAGGAGUGAUCAGACUGAGUGGCAGUUAGCCAUGACAGCUAAGGACAACAAACAAGCAUCCCAUCAUAAAGCAGCUGCCCAUCUUUUCAAGGAGAAUUUAAGCUGGGAUUCCAUCAGCCAAGUGUCCCUUGAGAUUCCAGAAC